CCUACGGGUGGCAGCAGUAGGGAAUCUUCCGCAAUGGACGAAAGUCUGACGGAGCAACGCCGCGUGAGUGAUGAAGGUUUUCGGAUCGUAAAGCUCUGUUGUUAGGGAAGAACAAGUACCGUUCGAAUAGGGCGGUACCUUGACGGUACCUAACCAGAAAGCCACGGCUAACUACGUGCCAGCAGCCGCGGUAAUACGUAGGUGGCAAGCGUUGUCCGGAAUUAUUGGGCGUAAAGGGCUCGCAGGCGGUUUCUUAAGUCUGAUGUGAAAGCCCCCGGCUCAACCGGGGAGGGUCAUUGGAAACUGGGGAACUUGAGUGCAGAAGAGGAGAGUGGAAUUCCACGUGUAGCGGUGAAAUGCGUAGAGAUGUGGAGGAACACCAGUGGCGAAGGCGACUCUCUGGUCUGUAACUGACGCUGAGGAGCGAAAGCGUGGGGAGCGAACAGGAUUAUAUUCCCCGGUAGUCAAA
rnacentral:rRNA from 1 species